AUUGAACGCUGGCGGCAGGCUUAACACAUGCAAGUCGAGCGAGCGGCGGACGUGUGAGUAGUGUCUGGGAACCUGCCUGAUGGAGGGGGAUAACUACUGGAAACGGUAGCUAAUACCGCAUACCAUCAAAUGUGCACCGAUGGGAUUAGCGAGGAGGUGGGGUAAGGGCUCACCUAGGCGACGAUCCCUAGCUGGUCUGAGAGGAUGACCAGCCACACUGGAACUGAGACACGGCCCAGAUGCCAACGGGAGGCAGCAGUGGGGAAUAUUGGACAAUGGGCGCAAGCCUGAUGCAGCCAGGCCGCGUGUGUGAAGAAGGCCUUCGGGUUGUAAAGCACUGUCAGCGAGGAGGCGUUACUCGCAGAAGAAGCACCGGCUAACUCCGUGCCAGCAGCCGCGGUAAUAC
rnacentral:rRNA from 1 species